rnacentral:rRNA from 1 species
AUUGAACGCUGGCGGCAGGCCUAACACAUGCAAGUCGAGCGAGCGGCGGACGGGUGAGUAAUGUCUGGGAAACUGCCUGAUGUAGGGGGAUAAAUCCUGGAAACGGUAGCUAAUACCGCAUACCAUCGGAUGUGCCCAGAUGGGAUUAGCUAGUAGGUGGGGUAAAGGCUCACCCAGGCGACGAUCCCUAGCUGGUCUGGGAGGAUGAUCAGCCACACGGGGACUGAGACACGGCCCAGACUCCGACGGGAGGCAGCAGUGGGGAAUAUUGCACAAUGGGCGCAAGCCUGAUGCAGCCAUGCCGCGUGUAUGAAGAAGGCCCUAGGGUUGUAAAGUACUUUCAGUCGGGAGGCGUUACCGACAGAAGAAGCACCGGCUAACUCCGUGCCAGCAGCCGCGGUAAUUC